UACAGAGGGUGCGAGCGUUAAUCGGAAUUACUGGGCGUAAAGCGUGCGCAGGCGGUUUUGUAAGUCUGUCGUGAAAUCCCCGGGCUCAACCUGGGAAUUGCGAUGGAGACUGCAAGGCUAGAAUCUGGCAGAGGGGGGUAGAAUUCCACGUGUAGCAGUGAAAUGCGUAGAUAUGUGGAGGAACACCGAUGGCGAAGGCAGCCCCCUGGGUCAAGAUUGACGCUCAUGCACGAAAGCGUGGGGAGCAAACAGG
rnacentral:rRNA from 1 species